rnacentral:misc_RNA from 1 species
GAUGAAGAACGUAGCGAAAUGCGAUAAGUAAUGUGAAUUGCAGAAUUCAGUGAAUCAUCGAAUCUUUGAACGCACAUUGCGCCCGCCAGUAUUCUGGCGGGCAUGCCUGUCCGAGCGUCAUUUCAACCCUCGAACCCCUCCGGGGGGUCGGCGUUGGGGACCUCGGGAGCCCCUAAGACGGGAUCCCGGCCCCGAAAUACAGUGGCGGUCUCGCCGCAGCCUCUCCUGCGCAGUAGUUUGCACAACUCGCACCGGGAGCGCGGCGCGUCCACGUCCGUAAAACACCCCACUUCUGAAAUGUUGACCUCGGAUCAGGUAGGAAUACCCGCUGAACUUAAGCAUAUCAAUAAGCGGAGGA